rnacentral:rRNA from 1 species
GCCCUUAGAGUUUGAUCAUGGCUCAGGACGAACGCUGGCGGCGUGCCUAAUACAUGCAAGUCGAGCGCGGGAAGUAAGAUGACCCCUUCGGGGUGAUUCUUGUGGAACGAGCGGCGGACGGGUGAGUAACACGUGGGCAACCUGCCUGUAAGACUGGGAUAACUCGCGGAAACGUGAGCUAAUACCGGAUAAUACUUUUCUUUACCUAAGGAGAAGUUGAAAGGCGGCUUUUCGGAGCUGUCACUUACAGAUGGGCCCGCGGCGCAUUAGCUAGUUGGUAGGGUAAUGGCCUACCAAGGCGACGAUGCGUAGCCGACCUGAGAGGGUGAUCGGCCACACUGGGACUGAGACACGGCCCAGACUCCUACGGGAGGCAGCAGUAGGGAAUCUUCCGCAAUGGACGAAAGUCUGACGGAGCAACGCCGCGUGAACGAUGAAGGUUUUCGGAUCGUAAAGUUCUGUUGUUAGGGAAGAACAAGUACCGUUCAAAAUAGGGCGGUACCUUGACGGUACCUAACGAGGAAGCCCCGGCUAACUACGUGCCAGCAGCCGCGGUAAUACGUAGGGGGCAAGCGUUGUCCGGAAUUAUUGGGCGUAAAGCGCGCGCAGGCGGUUUUUUAAGUCUGAUGUGAAAUCUUGUGGCUCAACCACAAGCGGUCAUUGGAAACUGGAGAACUUGAGUACAGAAGAGGAGAGUGGAAUUCCACGUGUAGCGGUGAAAUGCGUAGAUAUGUGGAGGAACACCA